UUCGUCUGGCCUUGUGUGGGAAUUUCUACAUGCAUUAUUUCAUUCAACAAUUCAACCAAGAAAAUAUCACUAUUAUUACACAGACCCGUGGCUUUUUCGAAGCAUGAGAUUAUGGGCUCCAGUUCACAAUCAAGCUUUCUGGAGAAAUGCUGGAAGGUUAAGAGUGGUUGAUGGCGAACACUGAGCAAAGCAAGCAAAAUAUAUCCGUGGGAGACACAAGAGAGAGAGGGAGCGACGGAUGACAUCUGUGGAAAGGCAUAGCCAAUCGAUCAUCCAUCCUCUUUCCAACUUCCCAGAAGACUGAUUCCUUAGAGCAUAACAGCUCUCCUGAUGCUGCUCCUAGACCGUGACCCAUGCUGGCAAAGCUUCUGCUCCCAUGUGGCUGAAUGUUUCAUAAGGAGAGCUACUAAAAUGCAGAGAAGCACAAAGUCUUAAUUGCUUGCUAGUGGGCACUCAGCCAACAUACUGUUAGCAGAAUGAAACUCAAUCUCAAAGAAAAUGUGCUGAACCCCUGCUCUGGAUCACCCAAGGCCCAUAUGGAUUGCAUGUGUUUUGGAGAGGUUCACCAUGUCAUGUAAAUGGGAUACCCAGUGGUUCACCGUAGUAUCUUAAAAUACCACAAAGACCAUGAA